rnacentral:lncRNA from 1 species
AGUAGCAGCAGAGAUAUUGCCAAAGGAAAGAGGCCAACCAUCAGAACAGAGAUAUUCAAAGCUUUCUCAGGGGAACUGACUUUAUUUGCAACACAGUGUGGGGAAAUUUAAGUCUAAGGGCAUUCCCAGAAAUAAUGGAGAUUUGGGCAGUAAGCAAUUGAGAGGGGGCUGGUAGAUUCAUGAGAACAACAGUUUAAACCCAACUAAUUAAUGAAGAGAACAGGGGAAAGAAACAACUAAGAAGAACCCACCUGGAGUCAAAACAAAACAAAACAAAAAAUACCUAAAAGACUGGUAUCGAAAACCAUCCCUGCAAAGGAGCCUGGAUUUAAUGGGAUCAGAGUGUGGAACAAUGUGUGCCUCCAGGGCAUUGCAGAAAACAGUAGAGCAAUCAGCUGGCCAGGAGUGGAGGCUAAGAGCUGGCCAUAUUACUAACAGGGCAGACAGACAUCUUAACAGAGAGAUCAGCAAAGGAGAGUCAAAGAGAACCCAGCUACAGCCAUGGUAUCCCAGGAUGGCUGUGUGCGCACUCAUGGCUGCACAACGUGUGGGGAACAGAUUUCACUAAAACAGUCCAGCAGAGUCACUAAACAAGUCAGCAAGCAAACAACGACAAAAACAAGUCCCAAGGAGGGAGGUUGCUACAGGACAUUAUGAAAAACGGCCAGUGGGACCAAGUCACAGGGAAAGAACAGGCAACAGAAAACAGCAUUUCAUCAAAUACCUCAGAGAUGAACCCUUGUGUGGAGAUGAUGGAGCCACAAGUUCUGAGCACUUCUGGCUGCUCAGCAACUUUAAUGAGGACAGAUGCCCGUAGAGUGACCUGGAGCCAGAGAGGCCUCUACACACAUGGCUGGCCCUGGGCUAACAUCCCUGCCCAUCUCCCUCUACUUUAUAUGUGGGACGCCUGCCAUAGCAUGGCUUUAUAAGAGGCGCGUAUGUCUGAACCCGGGAUCUGAACCGGCGAACCCUGGGCCGCUGAAACAGAACCCGUGAACUUAACUGCUGCGCCACCUGGCCGGCCCCCGAUUAUUGGUUUUUGGUUGA